rnacentral:rRNA from 1 species
UGAUCCAGACUUUGAUCAUGGCUCAGGAUGAACGCUAGCUACAGGCUUAACACAUGCAAGUCGAGGGGAAACGAUAUUGGAAGCUUGCUUCCGAUAGGCGUCGACCGGCGCACGGGUGAGUAACGCGUAUCCAACCUGCCCACCACUUGGGGAUAACCUUGCGAAAGUAAGACUAAUACCCAAUGAUAUCUCAAGAAGACAUCUGAAUGAGAUUAAAGAUUUAUCGGUGAUGGAUGGGGAUGCGUCUGAUUAGCUUGUUGGCGGGGUAACGGCCCACCAAGGCGACGAUCAGUAGGGGUUCUGAGAGGAAGGUCCCCCACAUUGGAACUGAGACACGGUCCAAACUCCUACGGGAGGCAGCAGUGAGGAAUAUUGGUCAAUGGGCGAGAGCCUGAACCAGCCAAGUAGCGCGCAGGAUGACGGCCCUAUGGGUUGUAAACUGCUUUUAUAAGGGAAUAAAGUGAGCCUCGUGAGGCUUUUUGCAUGUACCUUAUGAAUAAGGACCGGCUAAUUCCGUGCCAGCAGCCGCGGUAAUACGGAAGGUCCGGGCGUUAUCCGGAUUUAUUGGGUUUAAAGGGAGCGUAGGCCGGAGAUUAAGCGUGUUGUGAAAUGUAGACGCUCAACGUCUGCACUGCAGCGCGAACUGGUUUCCUUGAGUACGCACAAAGUGGGCGGAAUUCGUGGUGUAGCGGUGAAAUGCUUAGAUAUCACGAAGAACUCCGAUUGCGAAGGCAGCUCACUGGAGCGCAACUGACGCUGAAGCUCGAAAGUGCGGGUAUCGAACAGGAUUAGAUACCCUGGUAGUCCGCACGGUAAACGAUGGAUGCCCGCUGUUGGUCUGAAUAGGUCAGCGGCCAAGCGAAAGCAUUAAGCAUCCCACCUGGGGAGUACGCCGGCAACGGUGCAACUCAAAUGAAUUGACGGA